rnacentral:rRNA from 1 species
GUGCCAGCAGCCGCGGUAAUCGUAGGCGCAAGCGUUGUCCGGAAUUAUUGGGCGUAAAGAGCUCGUAGGCGGUUUGUCGCGUCUGCUGUGAAAGCCCGGGGCUCAACCCCGGGUCUGCAGUGGGUACGGGCAGACUAGAGUGCAGUAGGGGAGACUGGAAUUCCUGGUGUAGCGGUGAAAUGCGCAGAUAUCAGGAGGAACACCGAUGGCGAAAGGCAGGUCUCUGGGCUGUUACUGACGCUGAGGAGCGAAAGCAGUGGGGAGCGAACAGGAUUAGAUACCUGGUAGUCCAUGCCGUAAACGUUGGCACUA